rnacentral:rRNA from 1 species
GUCCCUACGGGGCGCAGCAGUGAGGAAUAUUGGUCAAUGGGCGAGAGCCUGAACCAGCCAAGUCGCGUGAGGGAAGACGGUCCUAUGGAUUGUAAACCUCUUUUGUCGGGGAGCAAAAAGGCCUCGUGAGGCCACAAGUGAGAGUACCCGAAGAAAAAGCAUCGGCUAACUCCGUGCCAGCAGCCGCGGUAAUACGGAGGAUGCGAGCGUUAUCCGGAUUUAUUGGGUUUAAAGGGUGCGCAGGCGGUCUGUUAAGUCAGCGGUCAAAGCCCGGGGCUCAACCCCGGCCCGCCGUUGAAAC